CCCGGGCCUUGUACACACCGCCCGUCACACCACGAAAGCUGGUUGAACCAGGAAGCCGGCGACCCAACCCGCAAGGGAGGGAGCCGUCCAAGGUUUGGCUAGGUGAUUGGGGUG
rnacentral:rRNA from 1 species